GCGGGAAUAGCUCAGUUGAUAGAGCAUUAGCCUUCCAAGCUGAGGGUCGUGGGUUUGAGUCCCGUUUCCCGCU
rnacentral:tRNA from 1 species